CACACACCUGCAGCAGAGCGAGAGGCUGCGCCGUGGCGGUGGAAUACGCCACUGAAACACAAAUGGUCUAAGCAGACAGGACUCAAUGGCUCUCCAACAGACUGCCACUGUGGGCUGGACACUGACGUGGACACUGUGACGUAUGCAGACCAGACAUAUCUAGUGGUGGAGAUGAAUCAUUUGGACAGCUCUGACACCAACAAGCCCUCUGCCCUCAGUUCCUGACGCUCCCACGUAUCUCCUGACCUCUGCUCUCCACUCGUCUCCCUCCACUGCACACUGGACAGUUUGGUGUCAGCAGCGUGGAGACACCAGAGCUGGGCAGGGACACCAGGACCCAUGGCCCAGAGCCAGCUGGAGCCGCUGCCAGCUUGUGUUGACAAUGAGUUCCACACAGUCGGGACACUGUGG